UACGUAGGGUGCAAGCGUUAAUCGGAAUUACUGGGCGUAAAGCGUGCGCAGGCGGUUUUGUAAGUUUUGUCGUGAAAGCCCCGGGCUCAACCUGGGAAUGGCGAUGAAGACUGCAAGGCUUGAAUCUGGCAGAGGGGGGUAGAAUUCCACGUGUAGCAGUGAAAUGCGUAGAGAUGUGGAGGAACACCGAUGGCGAAGGCAGCCCCCUGGGUCAAGAUUGACGCUCAUGCACGAAAGCGUGGGGAGCAAACAGG
rnacentral:rRNA from 1 species